rnacentral:lncRNA from 1 species
UGCACAUCAGAGUUCAGAUACGAGGUGGAGGUUAUCAUUUGUUAUCAGCUGUAAUUGCUGUCAAAUAUAGCUUCUCUUUGUUUAGUUUAAUCAAUAGUUGCCUCAUUUUAACCUUCCGAGACAUACUGGAAACUGGAAAGAAUGCAAUAUGAUUUACACAAUAUAAAAAAGUUUUUUUUUAAUUCCUGAAGAAGUCAUUUGGUAAAUUUAGUUCAUUUACCAUGUGUGAAAGUCACAGAGGUAGGCAGGUAAAAAAAAAAAAACAUGUCAUGAAUGCCAAAGAUAUAAACAGAAAUGAAGAUUUGCAACAGUAAUAUACAAGCAGGGCUUUUUUAAAUGUUUUCUUUCUUUCUUUCUUUCUUUCUUUUGUUUGUUUGUUUGUUUAUUUAUUCAUUUAUUUAUUUAUGUAAGUCAUAAUGGAAGUCUAAGGAAGUAGUGUGUAUUUUAAUAGUUUUAAAUUAAAUGUAUUUUUCCCCGAAAAUAUGGUAACAUCUAUCUAUCUAUCUAUCUAUCUAUCUAUCUAUCUAUCUAUCUAUCUUGCAUCUGCUUUUGAUAUGUACAGAGCAGUGCUGUCAUUGUUCUAAAACUAUCUAAACUAAAACUAUUUUUAAAACAACAAUUGAAAUGAAGCUGAAAUACUGUAAAAUAUAGAUAUUGGAACUUAAAAAAAACAAAAACUAUAAAUGUUGUUUGGCAACUAACUAAAAUUCCUAAAACUAAACUUAACUAUAACUAACUAACUAACCUACUAAUGAAUUAAUUAAUUAAUGAAUUAAUGAAUGAAAUUGACAAAAGCAUAUAACAAAAUUACUACAACCUAAUCUAAAUUUACAUAAAAAAUAGAAAAUAAAGAUAUAAAAAUAAAAGCAAAUUCAACAUAUUAAUACAUACUAUAACAGUACAUAAAUAGUACAUAAUAGUACAUACAGUAUAAUAUUUUUUCAAUAUUUCAAUAGAAAUAUAAAAAACUAAUAAAAUUGAUAAAAGCACAUAACAAAAUUACUACAACCUAAAUUAAGUUUACAUACAAAAAUAGAAACUAAAACAAAAAUAAAAAUAAAAGCAAAUUCAACAUAUUAAUAAAUAGUAAAUAAUAGUACAUAUAAUAGUAACUAUAAUAACCAUAAUAGUACAUAAAUACAAAUAAAAUAACAAUGGUUAA